rnacentral:rRNA from 1 species
GACGUAGGGCGCGAGCGUUUGUCCGGAUUUAUUGGGCGUAAAGAGCUCGUAGGCGGCUUGUCGCGUCGACUGUGAAAUCCCGCGGCUCAACUGCGGGUCUGCAGUCGAUACGGGCAGGCUAGAGUUCGGUAGGGGAGAUCGGAAUUCCUGGUGUAGCGGUGAAAUGACGCAGAUAUCAGGAGGAACACCGGUGGCGAAGGCGGAUCUCUGGGCAUUACCUGACGCUGAGGAGCGAAAGUGUGGGGAGCGAACAGG